GACACAGGUGGUCAGGUAGAGAAUACCAAGGCGCUUGAGAGAACUCGGGUGAAGGAACUAGGCAAAAUGGUGCCGUAACUUCGGGAGAAGGCACGCUGAUAUGUAGGUGAAGCGGUUUACCCGUGGAGCUGAAAUCAGUCGAAGAUACCAGCUGGCUGCAACUGUUUAUUAAAAACACAGCACUGUGCAAACACGAAAGUGGACGUAUACGGUGUGACGCCUGCCCGGUGCCG
rnacentral:rRNA from 1 species